rnacentral:rRNA from 1 species
AGUGAACGCUGGCGGUAGGCCUAACACAUGCAAGUCGAACGGCAGCACAGUAAGAGCUUGCUCUUACGGGUGGCGAGUGGCGGGCGGGUGAGGAAUACAUCGGAAUCUACUUUUUCGUGGGGGAUAACGUAGGGAAACUUACGCUAAUACCGCAUACGACCUACGGGUGAAAGCAGGGGAUCUUCGGACCUUUCGCGAUUGAAUGAGCCGAUGUCGGAUUAGCUAGUUGGCGGGGUAAAGGCCCACCAAGGCGACGAUCCGUAGCUGGUCUGAGAGGAUGAUCAGCCACACUGGAACUGAGACACGGUCCAGACUCCUACGGGAGGCAGCAGUGGGGAAUAUUGGACAAUGGGCGCAAGCCUGAUCCAGCCAUACCGCGUGGGUGAAGAAGGACUUCGGGUUGUAAAGCCAUUUUGUUGGGAAAGAAAAGCAGCAGGUUAAUACCCCGCUGUUCUGACGGUACCCAAAGAAUAAGCACCGGCUAACUUCGUG